AUGGCUGGCGUGAUGCUCCAGCGCAACCGCUUCGUGUGCUACCUCAAGUCGCGCGGCCACUAUGUUCGUGCCGAGGCGGAGGCUGCUGCCACUCUCGACGCCCUCCACUGUGUGCUCUCGUCAGUGGCGUUCGCAAAGCCUUGUCACGGCGCUGCAAGUGUUUCCCCCCUCCUCCCCAAGGGCAAGGUGAAGGAAGGUGCAUGUGUGGUUCUUCUGCAGCUCGCAGCGAGGAUUGUUGUGUCCAACCUGCACAAGAAUGCCAAGAAGUCCUUCUCGAAGACGAUUAAGGACAUGUACCUGCACUACAAUGAGAGAUCUGGGCUGCUUCUUUGUGGCUUGCAAACUUGA
rnacentral:rRNA from 1 species